GACGAACGCUGGCGGCGUGCCUAAUACAUGCAAGUUGAGCGCUGAAGGUUGGUACUUGUACCGACUGGAUGAGCAGCGAACGGGUGAGUAACGCGUGGGGAAUCUGCCUUUGAGCGGGGGACAACAUUUGGAAACGAAUGCUAAUACCGCAUAACAACUUUAAACACAAGUUUUAAGUUUGAAAGAUGCAAUUGCAUCACUCAAAGAUGAUCCCGGGUUGUAUUAGCUAGUUGGUGAGGUAAAGGCUCACCAAGGCGAUGAUACAUAGCCGUCCUGAGAGGGUGAUCGGCCACAUUGGGACUGAGACACGGCCCAAACUCCUACGGGAGGCAGCAGUAGGGAAUCUUCGGCAAUGGACGAAAGUCUGACCGAGCAACGCCGCGUGAGUGAAGAAGGUUUUCGGAUCGUAAAACUCUGUUGGUAGAGAAGAACGUUGGUGAGAGUGGAAAGCUCAUCAAGUGACGGUAACUACCCAGAAAGGGACGGCUAACUACGUGCCAGCAGCCGCUGUAA
rnacentral:rRNA from 1 species